AGAGUGCUCAGCGCCUCAGCAGAUGUAGACCUGGAUGACUCAAAAGCAGCUUUGAAAGGUUACUCAAUUUGAGGUUGGUCUGAGCUCAGUUUGAUAAUUGUGUGCAGAUUUGUGUCACCGUGUGCAUUUUUGGGCUAUGUUCGACGCCAUACUUCAACUGGUUUGCAUGGUGAGGGAAGGGCGCUCUGCAACUGCCACAGCCCAAGAUGCACUUAUAGUUUGUCACACAUUGUCAAUUUUACUCGAGAUGUCAGCUGGACCUAGACACCCUGUGAUGGAAAAGCCGAAGAAGCAUAGGAUGAAUUCAUCCCAAAACAUUGUUUAUCCUUUGAACUUUGAGUUACUAAUCCGGUGGUGCAUUCAUCCCAACUUUGAUUCUGCAUUCUAGUUCGUCAGCUAGCUUUCCUCGUUAGUUUUAUUCAGUGAUCUUCACAGAGUUGUCUGGUUGCCGACUGGGUGUCUAGGAUUCACACCUUGUUUUUUUUUUCUUUCCUGGACGUUUGAGCCAGGCAACAGGAAGAGAGAAGGCAGCCAUCAUCGGAUUUUGAUACUUCAUCCCUGCAUAUAAGAUAAUAUUUUGAAUUAACUAUUGAACUUCAGAAUUUUUUUUAAAAAAAAAAAAUUGACAAUAUGGGAUUUAGUUGGCAAUGUUACCAAUUAUAUCUUCGAUGUUCUUAAGGUUUCAGUAAAAGAUUUUAUUCUGUAUAUCUUUUUCUGUGUUGGAACUGCCUUGAAAGUUGGUGGAGCCUGUCUAAAAUACUGAUGAAUGUAAAAUACAUUUUUGUAACAUAUCAAUCUUGAUAUUGGCAUUUUGAAAUUUUAGGAUCUUUAGUUCAAUGUGUUAAAAAUAAUUUAAUAAAAUUAAAAUAAAUAAUUUUUUUUUCCUUUAAGACAGAAUAAUCUUUAACUUUUUGAAAAAGUUAUAAAAAAAACUAAUUAAAUGAGAAGCUUUCACGUGAAG
rnacentral:lncRNA from 1 species